GGUUAAGCGACUAAGCGUACACGGUGGAUGCCCUGGCAGUCAGAGGCGAUGAAGGACGUGCUAAUCUGCGAUAAGCGUCGGUAAGGUGAUAUGAACCGUUAUAACCGGCGAUUUCCGAAUGGGGAAACCCAGUGUGUUUCGACACACUAUCAUUAACUGAAUCCAUAGGUUAAUGAGGCGAACCGGGGGAACUGAAACAUCUAAGUACCCCGAGGAAAAGAAAUCAACCGAGAUUCCCCCAGUAGCGGCGAGCGAACGGGGAGCAGCCCAGAGCCUGAAUCAGUGUGUGUGUUAGUGGAAGCGUCUGGAAAGGCGCGCGAUACAGGGUGACAGCCCCGUACACAAAAAUGCACAUGCUGUGAGCUCGAUGAGUAGGGCGGGACACGUGGUAUCCUGUCUGAAUAUGGGGGGACCAUCCUCCAAGGCUAAAUACUCCUGACUGACCGAUAGUGAACCAGUACCGUGAGGGAAAGGCGAAAAGAACCCCGGCGAGGGGAGUGAAAAAGAACCUGAAACCGUGUACGUACAAGCAGUGGGAGCACGCUUAGGCGUGUGACUGCGUACCUUUUGUAUAAUGGGUCAGCGACUUAUAUUCUGUAGCAAGGUUAACCGAAUAGGGGAGCCGAAGGGAAACCGAGUCUUAACUGGGCGUUAAGUUGCAGGGUAUAGACCCGAAACCCGGUGAUCUAGCCAUGGGCAGGUUGAAGGUUGGGUAACACUAACUGGAGGACCGAACCGACUAAUGUUGAAAAAUUAGCGGAUGACUUGUGGCUGGGGGUGAAAGGCCAAUCAAACCGGGAGAUAGCUGGUUCUCCCCGAAAGCUAUUUAGGUAGCGCCUCGUGAAUUCAUCUCCGGGGGUAGAGCACUGUUUCGGCAAGGGGGUCAUCCCGACUUACCAACCCGAUGCAAACUGCGAAUACCGGAGAAUGUUAUCACGGGAGACACACGGCGGGUGCUAACGUCCGUCGUGAAGAGGGAAACAACCCAGACCGCCAGCUAAGGUCCCAAAGUCAUGGUUAAGUGGGAAACGAUGUGGGAAGGCCCAGACAGCCAGGAUGUUGGCUUAGAAGCAGCCAUCAUUUAAAGAAAGCGUAAUAGCUCACUGGUCGAGUCGGCCUGCGCGGAAGAUGUAACGGGGCUAAACCAUGCACCGAAGCUGCGGCAGCGACGCUGAUGCGUUGUUGGGUAGGGGAGCGUUCUGUAAGCCUGCGAAGGUGUGCUGUGAGGCAUGCUGGAGGUAUCAGAAGUGCGAAUGCUGACAUAAGUAACGAUAAAGCGGGUGAAAAGCCCGCUCGCCGGAAGACCAAGGGUUCCUGUCCAACGUUAAUCGGGGCAGGGUGAGUCGACCCCUAAGGCGAGGCCGAAAGGCGUAGUCGAUGGGAAACAGGUUAAUAUUCCUGUACUUGGUGUUACUGCGAAGGGGGGACGGAGAAGGCUAUGUUGGCCGGGCGACGGUUGUCCCGGUUUAAGCGUGUAGGCUGGUUUUCCAGGCAAAUCCGGAAAAUCAAGGCUGAGGCGUGAUGACGAGGCACUACGGUGCUGAAGCAACAAAUGCCCUGCUUCCAGGAAAAGCCUCUAAGCAUCAGGUAACAUCAAAUCGUACCCCAAACCGACACAGGUGGUCAGGUAGAGAAUACCAAGGCGCUUGAGAGAACUCGGGUGAAGGAACUAGGCAAAAUGGUGCCGUAACUUCGGGAGAAGGCACGCUGAUAUGUAGGUGAGGUCCCUCGCGGAUGGAGCUGAAAUCAGUCGAAGAUACCAGCUGGCUGCAACUGUUUAUUAAAAACACAGCACUGUGCAAACACGAAAGUGGACGUAUACGGUGUGACGCCUGCCCGGUGCCGGAAGGUUAAUUGAUGGGGUUAGCGCAAGCGAAGCUCUUGAUCGAAGCCCCGGUAAACGGCGGCCGUAACUAUAACGGUCCUAAGGUAGCGAAAUUCCUUGUCGGGUAAGUUCCGACCUGCACGAAUGGCGUAAUGAUGGCCAGGCUGUCUCCACCCGAGACUCAGUGAAAUUGAACUCGCUGUGAAGAUGCAGUGUACCCGCGGCAAGACGGAAAGACCCCGUGAACCUUUACUAUAGCUUGACACUGAACAUUGAGCCUUGAUGUGUAGGAUAGGUGGGAGGCUUUGAAGUGUGGACGCCAGUCUGCAUGGAGCCGACCUUGAAAUACCACCCUUUAAUGUUUGAUGUUCUAACGUUGACCCGUAAUCCGGGUUGCGGACAGUGUCUGGUGGGUAGUUUGACUGGGGCGGUCUCCUCCUAAAGAGUAACGGAGGAGCACGAAGGUUGGCUAAUCCUGGUCGGACAUCAGGAGGUUAGUGCAAUGGCAUAAGCCAGCUUGACUGCGAGCGUGACGGCGCGAGCAGGUGCGAAAGCAGGUCAUAGUGAUCCGGUGGUUCUGAAUGGAAGGGCCAUCGCUCAACGGAUAAAAGGUACUCCGGGGAUAACAGGCUGAUACCGCCCAAGAGUUCAUAUCGACGGCGGUGUUUGGCACCUCGAUGUCGGCUCAUCACAUCCUGGGGCUGAAGUAGGUCCCAAGGGUAUGGCUGUUCGCCAUUUAAAGUGGUACGCGAGCUGGGUUUAGAACGUCGUGAGACAGUUCGGUCCCUAUCUGCCGUGGGCGCUGGAGAACUGAGGGGGGCUGCUCCUAGUACGAGAGGACCGGAGUGGACGCAUCACUGGUGUUCGGGUUGUCAUGCCAAUGGCACUGCCCGGUAGCUAAAUGCGGAAGAGAUAAGUGCUGAAAGCAUCUAAGCACGAAACUUGCCCCGAGAUGAGUUCUCCCUGACCCUUUAAGGGUCCUGAAGGAACGUUGAAGACGACGACGUUGAUAGGCCGGGUGUGUAAGCGCAGCGAUGCGUUGAGCUAACCGGUACUAAUGAACCGUGAGGCUUAACCUU
rnacentral:rRNA from 1 species